rnacentral:tRNA from 1 species
AGCUCAGUUGGUUAGAGCAACAGACUCAUAAUCUGGAGGUCCCUGGUUCAAGCCCAGG